rnacentral:rRNA from 1 species
ACCUCCAAUCAGUCAAGAAUACCCGCUGAAUUUAAGCAUAUUAUUAGGCGGAGGAAAAGAAACUAACAAGGAUUCCCUUAGUAACUGCGAGUGAAGCGGGAAGAGCUCAGACUGAAAAUCUUCGGAAUUGUAGUCUGGAGAAGCAUGGUCAGUCUACGGCAGUGGGUAAAGUCGUCUGGAAAGGCGCGCCUUGGAGGGUGAUAGCCCCGUUCAUGCCUACUGCUGGAAACGUACGACCUGCUUUCUACGAGUCGAGUUGUUUGGGAUUGCAGCUCUAAGUGGGUGGUAAAUUCCAUCUAAAGCUAAAUAUUGGUGGGAGACCGAUAGCGAACAAGUACCGUGAGGGAAAGAUGAAAAGAACUUUGAAAAGAGAGUUAAAUAGUACCUGAAAUUGCUGAAAUGAUAACCGAUGGGAGGCAGUGUAGGUAGUAAUUACUUGUAGUUGCUACAAGUCAGGCUUUUUUCUGAGUGUGGGAAAGGCUUCGGAACCUGUAUGGGUCUGUUUCGCCGUCAUGCUUGGGAAAGACUCUGACGAAAUGCCUCUUAUCACCCCGUCUUGUAACACGGACCAAG